rnacentral:rRNA from 1 species
GAUGGACGCUGGCGGCGUGCCUAAUACAUGCAAGUCGAGCGAACAGAUAAGGAGCUUGCUCCUUUGACGUUAGCGGCGGACGGGUGAGUAACACGUGGGUAACCUACCUAUAAGACUGGGAUAACUUCGGGAAACCGGAGCUAAUACCGGAUAACAUUUGGAACCGCAUGGUUCUAAAGUGAAAGAUGGUUUUGCUAUCACUUAUAGAUGGACCCGCGCCGUAUUAGCUAGUUGGUAAGGUAACGGCUUACCAAGGCGACGAUACGUAGCCGACCUGAGAGGGUGAUCGGCCACACUGGAACUGAGACACGGUCCAGACUCCUACGGGAGGCAGCAGUAGGGAAUCUUCCGCAAUGGGCGAAAGCCUGACGGAGCAACGCCGCGUGAGUGAUGAAGGGUUUCGGCUCGUAAAACUCUGUUAUUAGGGAAGAACAAAUGUGUAAGUAACUGUGCACGUCUUGACGGUACCUAAUCAGAAAGCCACGGCUAACUACGUG